CAAACUUACGCUGUUGUCAUGGUUACGCUGAAUGCCUCUUAAAUUUGGAUUUGAGAGCGGGUUUGUUGUGAAUUGAAAACUCCAUAAAACUUACUCGUGAAACUUAGUAUAUAUCAUUUUCAUGCUAGAUUUAACGAACUAAUAAGUUAUGUAUCAAUACUUAAAAACUAUGUACUAAGUUUGUCAGAUGGAUAUGGAGUCUUAGGAUUAUAGAAGAAUAUGUACGCCUAGUUUCAAAAUAAUGGAAAAUAAUUCCAAGUUUCAAGAAAAACGGGUUACAAAGAAAAAACUUACAUCUUUUGUUAAAAAGAAACGGAAAAUUUUGCCUGAUGUUGAUAUUUCUGAAACAUUUGUGGAGGAUAUUGAUGUCCCUGAAGAAUAUAUGGAGAUUUGCAAGGAGCUUAACCAGUAUCCACCUCUUUUUGCCAGUCAUACCCGAACAAGGUUUGUUUCCUACAAGGCGAAAGAUUUGCAUCAUAAACCGAGUAAUUUAAUCGGUGCAAAUUUCAGGAAUGGUUCUCUGUUACCUGAUGUUCGUCAAUUAUCCAAGUUACAUCUACCUUCAAAGUUGUCAGUGAAACCUAAGAAUAUCCUUUUAUUUUAUAUUAUUUAUUACUGUUAUUGCUAUAAUUAUUUUUUGUAUUAAAUUGUUUUAAAAUAUCUUUUCUCACUAUAUUUCGUACUGAAAGAGUUAUUCUAAAUGGGUUACUACUAGAGUUUUUUGGAAAACAUAUA